rnacentral:lncRNA from 1 species
GUUUCAGCAACAGAAACUAGUGCAAGAAUAGGAACAGAGCAAUAAGAGGUACAGCCAUCAGUCCCUCAAGAUAUAUUUAUAUUCGCUUCAGUCAAUACUUUCUGGGUUUCAUGCAGACCACUUACAAUUUUAAGGUGAAGGAGGGAAGACAGAAGCAGAGGUGUUGCCAAGAGAAUAUUGAGAAAGUUGAUUGCAGAGUCGAUGUUCAAUAAAUACUUGGCAUGUUAACAACACAUCCUGCAUUACCAGCUUCAAAAAUUAGACUCCAUAUUUUUAUGAUAAAAAGAAGAUGACGCAGAGACUUGAGCAUAGAGAAGGAUGUUCAGCAGGCUGUUGACCCAGAAGGCAGCAUCUCCCCUAGUGCAUUCAUCAUCAUAUCAGGUCUGUCCUGCAGCCUUUCAGGCGGGGAUGCUUGAUCCAUCACACGUCAAGAGCAGAUCAGCCUCAGACAGUGAACUCUCACUGACCAAACACACAGGAAAUGUGUAUAAGAUUAGAUUCCUUAAAGCCACAUCUGGCCAGAGUAUUCAUUAUUCAUUACUGAAGACUGCAGAGCAUGGAAUGGCUCCUCCCUAACUGCUGUCUCCCUUCCGUCUGAGGCUGUGGACAUCAUUUGGAAAGAGGCUACACUCUCUAGAUUACAUCGUGUGCACCACCCAAAGGCUAAUUACGAUCAAUCACCACACACAUGUGCUUGAUCACAUUCUCCUCCCUCCUUCCCCGCUUCCCCUCUGAAAAAGUCUGCUGACUCUCAGUUUAGGCCAAGGAGGAGAGAACGAAGUUUUGCAUCAGCCUGAAUUUGUCGAUCAAUGUUGGCUCUACCAGCAAAUCUGGAGCCAAUGUGCUGCUGAAGCCAGUGAAGGAAGAUUUGCCCUGAGCUAACAUCUGCUGCUAAUCUUCCUCUUUUUGUAUAUGAGCCACGACGACAGCAUGGCCUCUGACAGAGGAGUGGUGUAGGUCUGCGUCCAGGAACUGCACCCAGGCUGCCAAAGCGGAGCAUGCCGAAAUUAACCACUAGGCCACUGGGGCUGGCCUGCUUAGUAACUUUUUAAACUUAAAAUAUCUUGGUGACAUGUCUGUGCUUAUAGAUCUACCUCAUUUUGGUAAUGGCAUAGGAUUCUAUAUAAAAGACAAAUCAUAAUUUAGCUAACCCUUCCCCAGUGGAUAGAGUUUGAGUUCCCAGUUACCUACCAUCACAAACACUCCUGUGACAAUCAUCCUUGCACCCAUAUCUUUUGGCUCACUUCUACAAGUAUGGGCUUCCUUCUCUAAUGCUAUGUAUGAGCUCCUAAAAAUCCUUACGUUCUUCAAGAUGGUGCAGUUAAGAUACCAGGACAUAAAAUAGAGUGUGGCAGAUCACUCAACACCUAUCCCUCUUGGAAACUAGAGCACCAACAAAACCAAGUUGAUAAUUGGGGACAUCAUGUGGGCUGUCCAGGCAAGAGAGCUCUGUGUGCCUGGGGCUGCCACGGUGGAGAUUAAAAAUGUACAAAGUCAGUAAAUGGAAAUGCUGAUAAAAGUAGGGCUG